UCUAGUAUGGCAGAUUAGUGCAUUGAAUUUAAGCUUCAAAAAUAAAGUUAUCUUUUUCUAGAA
rnacentral:tRNA from 1 species